rnacentral:rRNA from 1 species
GAUGAACGCUGGCGGCGUGCCUAAUACAUGCAAGUCGAGCGAACAGACGAGGAGCUUGCUCCUCUGACGUUAGCGGCGGACGGGUGAGUAACACGUGGAUAACCUACCUAUAAGACUGGGAUAACUUCGGGAAACCGGAGCUAAUACCGGAUAAUAUAUUGAACCGCAUGGUUCACUAGUGAAAGACGGUUUUGCUGUCACUUAUAGAUGGAUCCGCGCCGCAUUAGCUAGUUGGUAAGGUAACAGCUUACCAAGGCGACGAUGCGUAGCCGACCUGAGAGGGUGAUCGGCCACACUGGAACUGAGACACGGUCCAGACUCCUACGGGAGGCAGCAGUAGGGAAUCUUCCGCAAUGGGCGAAAGCCUGACGGAGCAACGCCGCGUGAGUGAUGAAGGUCUUCGGAUCGUAAAACUCUGUUAUUAGGGAAGAACAAAUGUGUAAGUAACUAUGCACGUCUUGACGGUACCUAAUCAGAAAGCCACGGCUAACUACGUG